rnacentral:rRNA from 1 species
CCAUCCUCCAAGGCUAAAUACUCCUGACUGACCGAUAGUGAACCAGUACCGUGAGGGAAAGGCGAAAAGAACCCCGGCGAGGGGAGUGAAAAAGAACCUGAAACCGUGUACGUACAAGCAGUGGGAGCACGCUUAGGCGUGUGACUGCGUACCUUUUGUAUAAUGGGUCAGCGACUUAUAUUCUGUAGCAAGGUUAACCGAAUAGGGGAGCCGAAGGGAAACCGAGUCUUAACUGGGCGUUAAGUUGCAGGGUAUAGACCCGAAACCCGGUGAUCUAGCCAUGGGCAGGUUGAAGGUUGGGUAACACUAACUGGAGGACCGAACCGACUAAUGUUGAAAAAUUAGCGGAUGACUUGUGGCUGGGGGUGAAAGGCCAAUCAAACCGGGAGAUAGCUGGUUCUCCCCGAAAGCUAUUUAGGUAGCGCCUCGUGAAUUCAUCUCCGGGGGUAGAGCACUGUUUCGGCAAGGGGGUCAUCCCGACUUACCAACCCGAUGCAAACUGCGAAUACCGGAGAAUGUUAUCACGGGAGACACACGGCGGGUGCUAACGUCCGUCGUGAAGAGGGAAACAACCCAGACCGCCAGCUAAGGUCCCAAAGUCAUGGUUAAGUGGGAAACGAUGUGGGAAGGCCCAGACAGCCAGGAUGUUGGCUUAGAAGCAGCCAUCAUUUAAAGAAAGCGUAAUAGCUCACUGGUCGAGUCGGCCUGCGCGGAAGAUGUAACGGGGCUAAACCAUGCACCGAAGCUGCGGCAGCGACGCUUAUGCGUUGUUGGGUAGGGGAGCGUUCUGUAAGCCUGCGAAGGUGUGCUGUGAGGCAUGCUGGAGGUAUCAGAAGUGCGAAUGCUGACAUAAGUAACGAUAAAGCGGGUGAAAAGCCCGCUCGCCGGAAGACCAAGGGUUCCUGUCCAACGUUAAUCGGGGCAGGGUGAGUCGACCCCUAAGGCGAGGCCGAAAGGCGUAGUCGAUGGGAAACAGGUUAAUAUUCCUGUACUUGGUGUUACUGCGAAGGGGGGACGGAGAAGGCUAUGUUGGCCGGGCGACGGUUGUCCCGGUUUAAGCGUGUAGGCUGGUUUUCCAGGCAAAUCCGGAAAAUCAAGGCUGAGGCGUGAUGACGAGGCACUACGGUGCUGAAGCAACAAAUGCCCUGCUUCCAGGAAAAGCCUCUAAGCAUCAGGUAACAUCAAAUCGUACCCCAAACCGACACAGGUGGUCAGGUAGAGAAUACCAAGGCGCUUGAGAGAACUCGGGUGAAGGAACUAGGCAAAAUGGUGCCGUAACUUCGGGAGAAGGCACGCUGAUAUGUAGGUGAAGUCCCUUGCGGAUGGAGCUGAAAUCAGUCGAAGAUACCAGCUGGCUGCAACUGUUUAUUAAAAACACAGCACUGUGCAAACACGAAAGUGGACGUAUACGGUGUGACGCCUGCCCGGUGCCGGAAGGUUAAUUGAUGGGGUCAGCGCAAGCGAAGCUCUUGAUCGAAGCCCCGGUAAACGGCGGCCGUAACUAUAACGGUCCUAAGGUAGCGAAAUUCCUUGUCGGGUAAGUUCCGACCUGCACGAAUGGCGUAAUGAUGGCCAGGCUGUCUCCACCCGAGACUCAGUGAAAUUGAACUCGCUGUGAAGAUGCAGUGUACCCGCGGCAAGACGGAAAGACCCCGUGAACCUUUACUAUAGCUUGACACUGAACAUUGAGCCUUGAUGUGUAGGAUAGGUGGGAGGCUUUGAAGUGUGGACGCCAGUCUGCAUGGAGCCGGCCUUGAAAUACCACCCUUUAAUGUUUGAUGUUCUAACGUGGACCCGUGAUCCGGGUUGCGGACAGUGUCUGGUGGGUAGUUUGACUGGGGCGGUCUCCUCCUAAAGAGUAACGGAGGAGCACGAAGGUUGGCUAAUCCUGGUCGGACAUCAGGAGGUUAGUGCAAUGGCAUAAGCCAGCUUGACUGCGAGCGUGACGGCGCGAGCAGGUGCGAAAGCAGGUCAUAGUGAUCCGGUGGUUCUGAAUGGAAGGGCCAUCGCUCAACGGAUAAAAGGUACUCCGGGGAUAACAGGCUGAUACCGCCCAAGAGUUCAUAUCGACGGCGGUGUUUGGCACCUCGAUGUCGGCUCAUCACAUCCUGGGGCUGAAGUAGGUCCCAAGGGUAUGGCUGUUCGCCAUUUAAAGUGGUACGCGAGCUGGGUUUAGAACGUCGUGAGACAGUUCGGUCCCUAUCUGCCGUGGGCGCUGGAGAACUGAGGGGGGCUGCUCCUAGUACGAGAGGACCGGAGUGGACGCAUCACUGGUGUUCGGGUUGUCAUGCCAAUGGCACUGCCCGGUAGCUAAAUGCGGAAGAGAUAAGUGCUGAAAGCAUCUAAGCACGAAACUUGCCCCGAGAUGAGUUCUCCCUGACCCUUUAAGGGUCCUGAAGGAACGUUGAAGACGACGACGUUGAUAGGCCGGGUGUGUAAGCGCAGCGAUGCGUUGAGCUAACCGGUACUAAUGAACCGUGAGGCUUAACCUU